rnacentral:piRNA from 1 species
UAAAAAGCUUUUGGAUAAACU